UACGGAGGGUGCGAGCGUUGUCCGGAAUCACUGGGCGUAAAGGGCGCGUAGGCGGCGCGGAUAGUCGGCGGUGAAAGCCCGGAGCUCAACUCCGGGUCGGCCGUCGAUACUUCCGGGCUUGAGCACUGUAGAGGCAGAUGGAAUUCCGGGUGUAGCGGUGGAAUGCGUAGAGAACCGGAAGAACACCGGUGGCGAAGGCGGUCUGCUGGGCAGUUGCUGACGCUGAUGCGCGACAGCGUGGGGAGCAAACAGG
rnacentral:rRNA from 1 species